rnacentral:sRNA from 1 species
UUUUAGCCCUGAUCGAAACGGCAUCCCACGCUUUUUUGCGUGGAUAUAGUGUAGAGCAGGAAUAGCU